CCUAUUUUCCUUCUCAACAGUUAACUGUGUGCUACGUCUGUAGUCCUUUUGUCUUUUUGCUUCUACUUUCGAAAUAAUCCUCCUAUCCAUUCCUGUGUUUACCUUUCUUCCACUAACACUUCCAUGCAGGUCUUCAUUCUUAUUUUUCCUGGACUUUUGCAAUAUUCCUCUCAUCUCCACAUCAUUCUUUCUUCAAACCCAUUCAUAAACUACUGUCAUAGUCAUUUUCCUAUUGUCUGAAUCUUAGUUUAUUAUUUUCCCAACCAAAUAAUCUCCGGAAGCUCCCUAUUAACUUAGUAAAGUGAAGACGUUUUUGCCUGACUUCAAAGACCCUAUGCAUUGUCAUUUCAAAAUGCCUUUUAGCCCUAUUUUGCACAAGAUAUGGCAUAAUCCAGCCAAAUUUGAUCCCUUCAUCUUUCCCGAGUACGUCCUGUCUUUUCCAUCCUGCACACCUUUCCUUAUGUGAUUCUAUUUCCUGUAAUGUUAUUGCCCUUGCCUCCAUAGGACGAAUUCUUACUCCAUCUUCAUGCUACCUCUUUCAUCAGAUGAAACGUCACCCAGCGUUGAACCUUGCAACCGCCUGAGAAGACCUGGACUGCUCUCCUUGAUGGACUCGUGCUCCUCAUCUCCCAGGGAGUAGAACUGAAGCUGUAGCCUGGAGGUUAAGCUCUGGGGGCUUUGAAACAGGACAGAUUUCCAAGCCCCUGUCCAGGAUUCUGAUUUAGCUGGCCUGGGAUGAAAACACGGAUCUCUAUGUUUAACAAACAAACCAGUGGAUUUUUAACACAGGGGGUUUAGGAAAUUAUACAAAGUAAACACUCUCCCAGGGCUAAUCUUGUUAUUAAUUGCUUAUUGUCAGUUAAAAGCAUUUCUUCACUGGAGAUGAGGAUAAAGCCCAAACUUAAAGCGUCAGUAAAACUUUCAAAUUGAAGAUUAUUUGUAAAUGUUUUUCUCCUAAAUUCUAAGUCUCCUAUUCCAGAUAGUAUCAUUCUCAUAAUCAAAAUCAUCAAAUCAUCAAAAAAAUAAAAUUCUCAUAAUCGAAAUUUAACGUUCUUCAUUCCACUUAGAAUCAGAGAAAGGCUGUGAACAGCAGGUAAGACCUAGAGUCACUGCAGUGUCUCAUUGUACUGUCUGGCUUCAGCUCCAGGACUGAACACACACAGCCAAUGUUCAGAAUUAUGAUUCUGGAAUUCCACGGUGUUCUGACAGUUAUAUCCUUAAUUAUUUCUUUAGACUUAAUUCCUAAAAGUGGAAUUUCUG
rnacentral:lncRNA from 1 species